rnacentral:rRNA from 1 species
GACGGAGGAGGCAAGCGUUAUCCGGAAUCAUUGGGCGUAAAGCGUCCGUAGGUGGCUUGGUAAGUCGGCUGUCAGAUCACAUGGCUCAACCAUGUAACGGCAGUGGAAACUGCUAGGCUAGAGUGCGGUAGGGGUAGCGGGAAUUCCCGGUGUAGCGGUGAAAUGCGUAGAUACUGGGAAGAACAUAGGUGGCGAAAGCGCGCUACUGGGUCGCAACUGACACUGAGGGACGAAAGCUAGGGGAGCGAAUGGG